rnacentral:rRNA from 1 species
UGGGGAAUAUUGGACAAUGGGCGAAAGCCUGAUCCAGCCAUGCCGCGUGUGUGAAGAAGGUCUUCGGAUUGUAAAGCACUUUAAGUUGGGAGGAAGGGCAUUAACCUAAUACGUUAGUGUUUUGACGUUACCGACAGAAUAAGCACCGGCUAACUCUGUGCCAGCAGCCGCGGUAAUACAGAGGGUGCAAGCGUUAAUCGGAAUUACUGGGCGUAAAGCGCGCGUAGGUGGUUUGUUAAGUUGGAUGUGAAAUCCCCGGGCUCAACCUGGGAACUGCAUUCAAAACUGACUGACUAGAGUAUGGUAGAGGGUGGUGGAAUUUCCUGUGUAGCGGUGAAAUGCGUAGAUAUAGGAAGGAACACCAGUGGCGAAGGCGACCACCUGGACUAAUACUGACACUGAGGUGCGAAAACGUGGGGAGCAAACA